rnacentral:misc_RNA from 1 species
GAUGAAGAACGUAGCGAAAUGCGAUAAGUAAUGUGAAUUGCAGAAUUUAGUGAAUCAUCGAAUCUUUGAACGCACAUUGCACCCCUUGGUAAUCCUUGGGGUAUACCUGUUCGAGCGCCGUUUGUGUCUAAGGCUCUGCCUUGCGUUGAUGCUGCCCUGUCAAGGGCUCGUCUAAACACAUCGGCGCCUGCCUUGGCCCCGAACGCAAUGAAAUGUGCGAAUGGUCCUGGUGGGCGGCCAGUCUCCGAAAGCAUGGCCUCGGAUCAGGUAGGGAUACCCGCUGAACUUAAGCAUAUCAAUAAGCGGAGGA